CCUACGGGCGGCAGCAGUGAGGAAUAUUGGUCAAUGGACGCAAGUCUGAACCAGCCAUGCCGCGUGCAGGAAGACGGCCCUAUGAGUUGUAAACUGCUUUUGUACGAGGGUAAACGCAGAUACGCGUAUCUGUCUGAAAGUAUCGUACGAAUAAGGAUCGGCUAACUCCGUGCCAGCAGCCGCGGUAAUACGGAGGAUUCAGGCGUUAUCCGGAUUUAUUGGGUUUAAAGGUUGCGUAGGCGGUGGGAUAAGUUAGAGGUGAAAUCCCGGGGCUCAACUCCGGAAUUGCCUCUGAUACUGUUCGGCUAGAGAGUAGUGGCGGUAGGCGGAAUGUAUGGUGUAGCGGUGAAAUGCUUAGAGAUCAUACAGAACCCCGAUUGCGAAGGCAGCUUACCAAGCUACUUCUGACGUUGAGGCACGAAAGCGUGGGGAGCGAACAGGAUUAGAUACCCUGGUAGUC
rnacentral:rRNA from 1 species